AUUGAACGCUGGCGGCAGGCCUAACACAUGCAAGUCGAGCGGAUGAUGGGAGCUUGCUCCUGGAUUCAGCGGCGGACGGGCGAGUAAUGCCUAGGAAUCUGCCUGGUCGUGGGGGAUAACGUCCGGAAACGGGCGCUAAUACCGCAUACGUCCUGAGGGUGAAAGUGGGGAUCUUCGGACCUCACGCUAUCUUAUUAGCCUAGGUCGGAUUAGCUAGUUGGUGGGGUAAAGGCCUACCAAGGCGACGAUCCGUAACUGGUCUGAGAGGAUGAUCAGUCACACUGGAACUGAGACACGGUCCAGACUCCUACGGGAGGCAGCAGUGGGGAAUAUUGGACAAUGGGCGAAAGCCUGAUCCAGCCAUGCCGCGUGAGUGAAGAAGGUCUUCGGAUUGUAAAGCACUUUAAGUUGGGAGGAAGGGAAGUAAGUUAAUACCUUGCUGUUUUGACGUUACCAACAGAAUAAGCACCGGCUAACUUCGUG
rnacentral:rRNA from 1 species